rnacentral:tRNA from 1 species
GGCAGUGGCUCAAUUGGUAGAGCACCGGUCUCCAAAACCGGGGGAUGCGGGUUCGAGUCGCCCCACUACUGCCA